rnacentral:rRNA from 1 species
GACAGAGGGUGCAAGCGUUGCUCGGAAUUACUGGGCGUAAAGGGCGCGUAGGCGGGAUGGCAAGUCGGUCGUGAAAUCCCUCGGCUCAACUGAGGAUCGUCGAUCGAUACUGCCGUUCUUGAGGAUUGCAGAGGAGACUGGAAUUCCCGGUGUAGCGGUGAAAUGUGUAGAGAUCGGGAGGAACACCGGUGGCGAAGGCGGGUCUCUGGGCAAUUCCUGACGCUGAGGCGCGAAAGCGUGGGGAGCAAACGGG